rnacentral:lncRNA from 1 species
GCUCAGAGCCAUUGUAGCAGUUCACUCUGAAUGAGGGUUUCUCCAGGACUUGGUUCUUUUAACGGCAGAAAGACCCUUGAGGACAGCAUGCAGCAAUCUGGAGAUUUACAGUUGUCCCUGUUCCGUGGUCCUAGCUCAGUGACUGUUGAAAGCAUCUUCAGCUACAAAGGAAGGGCACUUUCUCAAGGUCUGUGUUUGGGCUUUCUCAAUUCAGAAAAACCUGUAACUUUCUAAGCCUGGUCUGAAGACAUCAGGUAUUCAAGUGGGCACAGGGGAGGCAUAACUCCCUACACUAUAAAAGGCGUUCCUGCUAAGCAAUUUCCAACCUUGUCUGCCUCUGAGGUCUCUCUUGACUCUUCUUCAUUCCUCCACCUGCCUUUUCGAUUAUCUUGCUUUUGGAUCUCAAAUAACCUUACUUCAUCCUUAAUGUUUGGCAGGAUGCCAGGCAAAUGAAAAAA